GACAGAGGGUGCAAACGUUGUUCGGAAUUACUGGGCGUAAAGCGAGUGUAGGCGGUUUGGUAAGUCGGAUGUGAAAGCCCCGGGCUCAACCCGGGAAGUGCACUCGAUACUGCCAAGCUAGAGUAUCGGAGAGGUUGGUGGAAUUCUCGGUGUAGAGGUGAAAUUCGUAGAUAUUAGGAAGAACACCGGUGGCGAAGGCGGCCCACUGGCUCGAUACUGACGCUGAGGUGCGAAAGCGUGGGGAGCAAACAGG
rnacentral:rRNA from 1 species